CAGAUAGUUUUCUAGGGUUCCGCAGUUUACACUGGUCUGGUCCGAGAGAAAACGCACAGCAUUGCUGUGACACGGAAGGAUAAAAGCCUGGGAGAU
rnacentral:sRNA from 1 species